rnacentral:rRNA from 1 species
AGAACGAACGCUGGCGGCAUGCCUAAUACAUGCAAGUCGAACGAACACUUCGGUGUUAGUGGCGCACGGGUGCGUAACGCGUGGGAAUCUGCCCUUGGGUUCGGAAUAACAGUUGGAAACGACUGCUAAUACCGGAUGAUGACGAAAGUCCAAAGAUUUAUCGCCCAGGGAUGAGCCCGCGUAGGAUUAGCUAGUUGGUGAGGUAAAGGCUCACCAAGGCGACGAUCCUUAGCUGGUCUGAGAGGAUGAUCAGCCACACUGGGACUGAGACACGGCCCAGACUCCUACGGGAGGCAGCAGUGGGGAAUAUUGGACAAUGGGCGAAAGCCUGAUCCAGCCAUGCCGCGUGUGUGAAGAAGGUCUUCGGAUUGUAAAGCACUUUAAGGUUGGGAGGUAAAGGGCAAUUAACCUAAGUACGUUAGUG